UUUCCGUAGGUGAACCUGCGGAAGGAUCAUUAUUGAAUAAACUUGGUUGGGUUGUUGCUGGCUCCUCGGAGCAUGUGCACGCUCGCUCCAUUUUUAACCACCUGUGCACCUUGUGUAGAUCUGAACAACUAUCGGGGAAACUCGGUCAGAGGAUUGCUGUGUGUAGAAGCCAGCUUUUCUUGGGUUCAGAUCUAUGUCUCUAUAUACACCAUAAGAAUGUAUUGGAAUGUAAUUGACAGGCGUUACAGCCUUUAAAAAUCAAAUACAACUUUCAACAACGGAUCUCUUGGCUCUC
rnacentral:misc_RNA from 1 species